ensembl:snRNA U1 U1 spliceosomal RNA
AUACUUACUUGGCAGGGGAGAUGCCAUGAUCACUACGGUGGUUUGCCCAGGAAGGGGCUCAUCAUCGCACUCCUAAUGUGUUGACCCCUGCCAUUGCCCCCAGUCUGGGAAACGCGACUGCAUAUUUUGUGGUAGUGGGGCCACUGCGUUUGUGCGCUCUCUGCCCUG